rnacentral:misc_RNA from 1 species
AAGUCGUAACAAGGUUUCCGUAGGUGAACCUGCGGAAGGAUCAUUAUUGAAUUUAAUGAAGGGAUAUUUGGUUGUAGCUGGCUCAUGAAUUUGGGCAUGUGCACACCUAUCUCUUUCAUCCACACACACCUGUGCACUUGUGAGGCAGAUGGGGAAUUUAUUGAUUGUUUUUUAAGAACAAUUGGUGCUGGACCCUCUGUCUACUCAAUACAUAAACUCAAUUUAUUUAGAAAUGAAUGUAAUGGAUGUAACGCAUCUAAUACUAAGUUUCAACAACGGAUCUCUUGGCUCUC